AUACGGAGGAUGCAAGCGUUAUCCGGAUUUAUUGGGUUUAAAGGGUGCGUAGGCGGAUGAUUAAGCGUGAGGUGAAAUGCCACUGCUCAACAGUGGAACUGCCUCGCGAACUGGUUGUCUUGAAUGCUCCUGCCGUGGGAGGAAUGUGUGGUGUAGCGGUGAAAUGCAUAGAGAUCACACAGAACACCGAUUGCGAAGGCAUCUCACGAAGGGUUGAUUGACGCUGAGGCACGAAAGCGUGGGAUCAAACAGGAUUAGAUACCCUGGUAGUCCACGCAGUAAACGAUGAUGGCUAACCGCUGGGCUUAUCAGUUCAGUGGCCAAGCGAAAGCGAUAAGCCAUCCACCUGGGGAGUACGACCGCAAGGUUGAAACUCAAAUGAAUGGGCGGGG
rnacentral:rRNA from 1 species